UGAGGAAUUUUGCACAAUGGGGGAAACCCUGAUGCAGCGAUACCGCGUGGAGGAUGACGGCUUUCGGGUUGUAAACUCCUUUUCUAUGGGAAUAAAUUUUGACGGUACCAUAGGAAUAAGCCACGGCUAACUACGUGCCAGCAGCCGCGGUAAUACGUAGGUGGCAAGCGUUAUUCGGAAUUAUUGGGCGUAAAGCGUCCGGAGGUGGCGAGAUAAGUCGGGUAUUAAAUCCAUGGGCCCAACCCAUGACCUGUAUCCGAAACUAUUUUGCUAGAGUGUGUUAGAGGUUAGUGGAAUUUCCGGUGUAGGGGUAAAAUCCGUUGAUAUCGGAAAGAACACCAAUUGCGAAGGCAGCUAACUGGGGCACUACUGACACUCAUGGACGAAAGCGUGGGGAGCAAAACGG
rnacentral:rRNA from 1 species